rnacentral:lncRNA from 1 species
CCCACUGCUGCAGGGCCGAGUCCAGGCCCUGGGGCAGCGCCGCCCCGUGGCGCACCGGCGCCUCGGCCCGCCCCACACUGCACGCCACCUGCGGGGACAGCGCUGCCAGGGGGGCGGGGAUGUCCCUGGCCACGCCCCCAAGCUGCCCGGGGGUGGGGAUGCUCAUGGCCACGCCUCCAAGCUGCCUGGGGGUGGGGCCUCUUGUGGCCACACCCCCAAGCUGCCUAGGGGUGGGGCCUCUCGUGGCCACGCCCCCAAGCUGCAGGGGGCUCUCAUGGCCACGCCCCCUCACUGCCUGGGGGCGGGGCCACACGUUGCCUUACCCUGCCCACCCCCUGAAAGCAGGACACGGGAGCAGGGGGCGGGGACUGCAGCCAUUCCACCAGCCAGGAGCCGAGGCAACUCCCCCGAUUGGCUGCCUGCCCUCAGCCCGCCCCCCCGGGGGGUGGAGCCAGCAGAUCCAGGGGCGGGGCCUACCUGGCAGAGCUGGGGGCGGUCCCCCCAGGACCUGCAGACCACGGUGCAGAUGCGGAGGGCCAUGGGCGGCCUUGGGGAGGCGCUGCCUGGGGGGGCGAGGGACGAGGGCAGGGACGGGCGGGCACGGGGCGGCGCCCCACGGCGCCGGCCUUCGCUGGGCACCCCCCACCCCACAGCCGUGGGGGCUGGCCAAGGGGGCCGCCCACCCUCUGCCCCCCAGGUUAGGGGGGGGGACCCGAUGCGGUGGCCGUGUCUACCCCGCCACGAAGGCUCCCAGCGCGGCACCGCAGCCCCCACCCCUACCCAUUUGGGGCCCCAAUGGCCCCCUCCCUACCCAGCCUCGGGAGGGUGUGGGAUGCCAAGAUGGCCACCCUCCCCCUCCCACAGCCCCAGGGGAUUGUGGGAGUCAAAGAUGGCUGCCCUCCCAUCCCAACCUGGGGCACCGUGGGGGGGCCGAAGCAGCCGCCUUCGCACCCAGCCCUGGCAGUUGGGGGGAUCCCAAAUCCCCGCUCUCCUCCCCAGGGGGUUGUGGGAGCCCAAGAUGGCCGCCCUCCCCCAGGGGAGCCCAAGAUGGCCGCCCGCCCCGGGGCGGGGGGGGGCCAAGAUGGCGGCGGUGGGCGGGGCUUACGUGUGGGGCUGGCGGGGGCGGGCAGGCGGGCGGUGGGCACCAGGGCCUCCAGCAGGACGCUCUCCUCCUCCCGCAGGCCGCGGAGCCGGC